AUCACUUCUAGGCCUUUUGGCUAAGAUCAUGUGUGGUAUCUGUUCUUAUCAGUUUAAUAUCUGAUGUGUCCUCUAUCCGAAGGCAAUAUAGUAAAUGGAUUUUGGGAGCAGGGAGAUGGAAUAGGAGCUUGUCCUGUCCAUUCUACGCAUCGACCCAUUGCAGUACCUCUAGUAACAGUGCUCUGCUC
rnacentral:snRNA from 1 species